rnacentral:rRNA from 1 species
UACGUAGGGUGCGAGCGUUUGUCCGGAAUUAUUGGGCGUAAAGAGCUCGUAGGCGGUGUGUCACGUCGGCCGUGAAAACCUGCAGCUUAACUGUGGGCGUGCGGGCGAUACGGGCAGACUGGAGUACUGCAGGGGAGACUGGAAUUCCUGGUGUAGCGGUGGAAUGCGCAGAUAUCAGGAGGAACACCGGUGGCGAAGGCGGGUCUCUGGGCAGUAACUGACGCUGAGGAGCGAAAGCGUGGGGAGCGAACAGG